GGCUCGUUGGUCAAGGGGUAUGAUUGUCGCUUUGGGUGCGAGAGGUCCCGGGUUCAAAUCCCGGACGAGUCC
rnacentral:tRNA from 1 species